AGCGAACGCUGGCGGCAGGCUUAACACAUGCAAGUCGAACGGGCAUAGCAAUAUGUCAGUGGCAGACGGGUGAGUAACGCGUGGGAACAUACCUCUUGGUUCGGAGCAACACAGGGAAACUUGUGCUAAUACCGGAUAAGCCCUUACGGGAAGAUUUAUCGCCGAGAGAUUGGCCCGCGUCUGAUUAGCUAGUUGGUGUGGUAAAGACGCACCAAGGCGACGAUCAGUAGCUGGUCUGAGAGGAUGAUCAGCCACAUUGGGGACUNAGACACGGCCCAAACUACCUACGGGAGGGCAGCAGUGGGGAAGUAUUGGACGAAUGGGCGGCAAGCCUGAUCCAGCCAUGCCGCGUGAGUGAUGAAGG
rnacentral:rRNA from 1 species